rnacentral:rRNA from 1 species
GGACUACACGGGUAUCUAAUCCUGUUUGCUCCCCUUGCUUUCGGGCCUCAGCGUCAGGAAUAAGCUAGAAAACCGCCUUCGCCACCGGUGUUCUUCCACAUAUCUACGCAUUUCACCGCUACAUGUGGAAUUCCGUUUUCUCCGCCUACCCUCUAGGGAUGCAGUUUCAAAUGCCGUUCCAGGGUUGAGCCCUGGGCUUUCACAUCUGACUUACAUCUCCGCCUACGCCCUCUUUACGCCCAAUAAAUCCGAUUAAUGCUUGCACCCUCCGUAUUACCGCGGCUGCUGGCAC